AGCGGCGAACAGGCAACGCCGGCAAUGAGGUAAGCGGGAAUGUUCAGUCAUUGGAAAAGACGAACUGGGAGGAUGUUCCUGAUGCUGGUGGUGGCCAGCUGUCUGACCUUCGUUGCUAGGUUGGUCUACCUCUCUACAGUCAAUGGGUUCUCUCCGGAAGUUCCCUGCACGCCCAGGAAAGACGUGGCAUUUAUGAAGACCCACAAGACGGCAAGCAGCACUGUGCAGAACCUCCUGUACCGCUACGGAGAUGCCAAGAAUCUCAUCUUCGCUCUGCCCACCCAUGCUCAAUUUGGCUACCCAAA